rnacentral:rRNA from 1 species
UAGGGAAUCUUCCACAAUGGGNGAAGCCUGAUGGAGCAACGCCGCGUGUGUGAUGAAGGGUUUCGGCUCGUAAAACACUGUUGUAAGAGAAGAAUGACAUUGAGAGUAACUGUUCAAUGUGUGACGGUAUCUUACCAGAAAGGAACGGCUAAAUACGUGCCA